rnacentral:rRNA from 1 species
AUUGAACGCUGGCGGCAUGCCCUACACAUGCAAGUCGAACGGCAGCGGGGGAGAAGCUUGCUUUUCCUGCCGGCGAGUGGCGAACGGGUGAGUAAUACAUCGGAACGUGCCCUGUAGUGGGGGAUAACUAGUCGAAAGAUUAGCUAAUACCGCAUACGACCUGAGGGUGAAAGUGGGGGACCGCAAGGCCUCAUGCUAUAGGAGCGGCCGAUGUCUGAUUAGCUAGUUGGUGGGGUAAAGGCCUACCAAGGCGACGAUCAGUAGCUGGUCUGAGAGGGCGAUCAGCCACACUGGGACUGAGACACGGCCCAGACUCCUACGGGAGGCAGCAGUGGGGAAUUUUGGACAAUGGGCGAAAGCCUGAUCCAGCAAUGCCGCGUGUGUGAAGAAGGCCUUCGGGUUGUAAAGCACUUUUGUCCGGAAAGAAAUGGCUCUGGUUAAUACCUGGGGUCGAUGACGGUACCGGAAGAAUAAGGACCGGCUAACUACGUGCCAGCAGCCGCAGUAAUAC